UACGUAGGGUGCAAGCGUUGUCCGGAAUUAUUGGGCGUAAAGAGCUCGUAGGCGGUUUGUUGCGUCGGCUGUGAAAACCUGAGGCUCAACCUCAGGCCUGCAGUCGAUACGAGCAGACUAGAGUGUUGCAGGGGAGACUGGAAUUCCUGGUGCAGCGGUGAAAUGCGCAGAUAUCAGGAGGAACACCGGUGGCGAAGGCGGGUCUCUGGGCAGUAACUGACGCUGAGGAGCGAAAGCGUGGGGAGCGAACAGG
rnacentral:rRNA from 1 species